GCACAAUUUACCUAAAUAAUAACAUUAAUUAAUUUGUAUCCAUUUUUCUGAAAUACUUGUUUAUUGAAUUUUCAAUAGUGAGUCACUUCACAUGCGUUGGUUGGCAGGAUUAAAAGAAUCUUCCAAGGUAAGAUACAGCAACAGGUACAGGAAAAUGAGAGAUUGUUUAUGAAAUGUUUAAGAAGAAUCUGAAGUCUAAAAGAAUCUUUGUCAAUUUGCAAACGAUUCAUUGCUAGUUUUUUAGUCUUGUAUGCAAAAAGAAUGGUGGCUAAGCUUAACUAUACUUGGAUAGCAUUGAUGGAACCAUGAAAAUAAAUUUUAACUUCUACUUUCUAUUUCAGUUUUCUUCAAAACCAGGCAAAACAGUUAGAUCAAAUGAGAAGUACAGAUCAUAUUCAUUAAGGAACAUUGUUUUAAUGAAUAGACUGACUCAUCUGCUGCCCAUAAUGCGAAUUGUAAAGCAGAAUGAGCUUCAAACCUUUUGCACCUUCUCCCUUUGAUGAUUUCUUUGAGGGGCUCCAGUAAUACUUUUCCUUCAACACUACAUCAUCCGAGACAGACCAAGUCUGCCCUCUAGGAGAGCUGUCUGCCCACAAGAACCUCUCUGAGAAGGGGUUCACCAGACUGUCUCGGAACUCCUGAGCUGUCUCACAUAUCAAAUCCUCUGCCUUGGCUUUGAUCUUCAGUGUAACAUCGUUGCUAAGAAAGACGAGUUGUCCAUCAAUGUUCAUUUUCCUAUAGGAAAGAGCACAAUCUAGAAUAUGGUCUUCUGCAGUUGGUGAAACGAUUUCCAUUAAGCUCCCACGGGCAGAAAAUGAUACCGAGCUUGUUAUACCAGAUGGAAACAUCCCACAACUUCCUUCACUGAAUCGAGACACAGGAGAAGCAGGCGGGGUUGGUGCAAUUAGUCUUCCAUCCUCCACUGAGCUCUGGACAUGAAUCCACCAUUUUGUAUUCGCCAUACAGUCUUCUAUCCAUUUUAACACCAACGAUGCCUCUGUCGUUCUCCUGAACAGGCUACCACGCCUCUUCAAAGAAUCCAGCUCCCUUAUCACAAUUCUUGGAAUGACUAAAUGAGUCCCCUUAAGACCUUGUAAAAGCUGUAGUGACUUCCUUGACUCCUUGUCUAGAAGAGAUGUGGUAUCUACUAUCAUAGUCCAUCUCCUCCCUCCAUCUCCAACAGAGUUCAUCUUCUUUUGAGUGCAGCUAAUAGAAUUGCUGCUUCUUGCAGCAACACUAGGCACUGAAGCUUUGGAUAUGCUCUUCCCUGGGGAAUUGGCAAAUAAUGAUUGUAAUGGAAUCCUCUCUAAUCUUCUUUCCUUCAGCACUACGUCUUCUUCCAACUUCACUUGCUUCCUUGAGGUAGGCCUAGCUGAUUUCCUUUGAAGAACUUUAGGUGUCUGGUUCUCUUUGUCUGAAGAGGCAAUCAUGUCUUCUUCUUGUACAAUGUUAGGGCUAAAAGUAAACUUCGAAGAUGAAGAUCUGCACAACUUGGAUAAUUGAAUAUCUUCUAGUGUGCACUUCAUUUUUGAGGCCUUCAGUGAAGUAUUUGGGGUGUGAUUCUCCUUGUCUGGAGUAAAGAUUUCCUCAUCCAUAGCUUUGAAACCCGAGAAAAGAGCCCUUGUAAUAGAUUUAUUUUCAAUAUCCUCCUGAUUCUCCCAUUCAACAUCAGCAUCAACAUAAACCCUUUUGGUUCUUCCCCUACUCUUACUUGUUUGAAGCUCAAGAGGAGUAGCAGGUUUACCCCUUCUUGACCAAAUGCUACGCGAGCUUGAUUUUUUCUCUGAUCUGAUAGGGGGGCUCCUUAAGUUCUCUAUGUUCUCAACUGCAGGGAAGUUGGAUUGUGGGGUCUGGCUUUCCUUGCUAUCUACAACAUCAGAAAGCAUUUCAUCAAGAGGUAAAGAUGAAUUCACAGAUUCUGCUGCAAGGGGUGGUACGCAGUAGCAGUCACUAGUGAACUCAUUCUGUACAUAGUCUUUCCUUGAAGGAUAGUCUUUCCUUGAAGGACUUUGGUUUUCCAUUUCCUCACGUAUUUCUGUGGCUGCAGGGUCAUAAGUUUGUGGGCUCACCAGAAGAUUCAAUAUUCGGUUUUCAGCUCUGUUUUGUUCUUCAAAAAGUGGAUGCAAAGCAACGAGAGGUUCUGGAGUCUGGUUUUCUUUGUUGAAUUGUUCAUUGUUGUCCUCCGAGAGAUCUGUCCUGUUCCCAGAUUCUGAUGGAGAAGUUCCCUUUUGCUCGUUGCCUUUCCUCAACGGGAUUUGAUUUUCAGUUUCUUUCGGUGAUUCUGAGGCUGAAUUGGAUUCUGCUUCUGCAACAGAUAAUGAAGCAUCUCUGUUGGAUUCUAGCUCUAAUCUUGUCUUGGAAAUGUCCGAGUAUUCUUCUUCCAGUAUUGCUUCUUUAGCAGAAUGAUAUUCUGGGCUCUGGUUGCAUUCAUAGAAUUGCUGACUCAAGGUCUGAAAAAUAAGUCCCUCAAAAAUGCUGGGGCUCAAUUCAUAAGCAUUUCUAGGUUUGCCUUCUAUUUCUUCCUUCUCAUUAUGAAAACAAGGAUUCAUGACUUCGGGCAUUAAUGGUGCUGAUGGGAUAGCUUUCUUCACAAUCAAGCCACAAUUCUCUUCAGGAAAUAAUGAGACAAUACAUUCCAAAAUUGAAUCCACAGAUUGAAUUUCUCCAUUUUCAUUGGAAUUCAUGUCCUGAUAUGUUUCUUCUGCUUUUCCUACCAUUAAGUCUUUCUCUUCAGCAUUUUUACUUUCAGUUGCCAAUAAAUCUUCAUCCUGAGAUAGCUUUUCUAUAUUUUCCUCUUCUUUCUCUUCAGUGAUUGCCAAAUCUGCUGCUGAUACGAAGGGGUUUUCCAUGUCAUAAGCACGGCUCAAAGGAACCCAAUGAAGCCUGUAGACUCUGGUUGAGCCACCAACCCUUAUUGUAUCACCCUCAUUCAGCUCUACACGAAACCCUGGUUCAAUCUUGUUCUCUGAAACCCAGGUCCCGUGGACAGAUGAUAAAUCAGUGACAAAGAGCUUCUGUGCAGAGGGUAUUGAAUUAAUUUGAAAGUGGAAUCUGCUAAUGCUAGGGUGCAUUAACACAAUAUUGCAAUCUGGGUGUCGACCAACAAUCAAGAUCUCCUCACUUUCUCCAUCUGGGCUCUCCACAUUUUCAAUGCCGGCGAUAGAAUUAAGCUCCGACGAUGGUGAAAUCGGUUUGUUGAUGACAAAGAUGUUCUUGAGAAUCACACCGUUCUUUAGAACCGUAAAAAGUGGUAUCUUUCUCUCCUCUUCUUCAGGAUUUUUCUCUUCGCAGCUACCCAUUGUUGCGGCUUAAUCACUCUCUUUCUUGAUUUGUAGGUCCGGACAGAGAAGAGGGGAAAAUUGUUAGCUUUUGAGUGAGACAGAGAGAGGAUAGGGUUUUUAUAUGGUUUCU
rnacentral:misc_RNA from 1 species